CCCAACAAGUUUAAUUUAUUAUUUUCCUCCUUUUCCUCACAGCUGUGAUGGAUAGGGGAGCCGGGAUUAAUAAAUUUUAUACGUUUAGGUUGCGGGGAUCUAGAAAAUCUUACCUUUGGAAGCGAAUCUCGGAAUUACAUAAAUUGAUGGUAGAUAUUCAGACUACUCAAGCUAAGUUGGGUAGUCAAGACGGAAACAGCCGAGAGCACUGAUCAAGGUCCCAAAUGAUUGUUAAGUGAAAUUAAGGACGUAGCAAUAUCAUAUACAGCUGUGAAGUGAGCCUGGCAGUCGCUACUUAUAAUGAUCGUACGUAACAACGCAUCAGCAGUAUUAUAUUUUAGUAUUAUAGUUUUACGUCUCCCCUCCUCCCUGACAAAAGGGAGGGGUAGUUGGCAUAUUAAAAUUAUAAAAACAAAAAAUAUAAAUGAUAGUAGCGCCGAAAAUUUAACGGGUCUUAAACAAUCAACCGAUAUCGUGUUGGUUUUAUUAAAAAAAAUUUUUUUUAAUAAAAUCUAGGUAGUAGAACAUUCAGUUUAACUGUUAAUUAAAUAGUGUUUCAUUGUUUAUUAGGUUACUGAAGAGAGAAUGCUGACAUGAGUAACGUAAAAAAUUCCUUAUAAUGGAAUUCGCCGAAUACGAAAGGGUUGCAAAAUUGAAAGGUUAAACCGUUUUGUGUAAAUGCGGCCUCUAAGGACUAUAGCAAUAGCUAUGGCUGAUGAGUA
rnacentral:rRNA from 1 species